CGCGUAGGCGGCGCGGUAAGUCAAAGGUGAAAUCCCUCGGCUCAACUGAGGAACUGCCUUUGAAACUGUCGUGCUUGAGGCCGGGAGAGGGUAGUGGAAUUCCCAGUGUAGCGGUGAAAUGCGUAGAUAUUGGGAGGAACACCAGUGGCGAAGGCGGCUACCUGGACCGGAACUGACGCUGAUGCGCGAAAGCGUGGGUAGCAAACA
rnacentral:rRNA from 1 species